CACUCAUCUAGAAGGCUAGUCAACUGGGAAAUAGAAAUACUUUAUUUAGACACGGUGUUAAUCUGUUUCAUUUAAUGGAAAUUGAAAAGAAUUUUUUUAUUUCGUUUAAUUUUGUUUUUUUUGUUUUAUUGAAUGUCAACAUGAUCUAAGUUUACACUUCUUUACUUCAGACUUGAAAUAGUUAAAACCUAAUUAGAAACAUAUUUGGGUUGUUAAGCUCAGGUCAUAUACUAUAUUAAUUAAUCUAGUUCUCAAUUUAUUUCUAAUUGGACUAGUCUCUAGACAAAACUGAAAUCUUUGUAUAAAAUACUUUUCGUACCUUGCUUGUUUUUUUCAACACAGU